rnacentral:rRNA from 1 species
UACGUAGGGUGCGAGCGUUAAUCGGAAUUACUGGGCGUAAAGCGUGCGCAGGCGGUUCUCCAAGUCCGUUGUGAAAGCCCCGGGCUCAACCUGGGAAUGGCAGUGGAACUAGGGGACUUGAAUCUGGCAGAGGGGGUGGAAUUCCACGGUGUAGCAGUGAAAUGCGUAGAGAUGUGGAGGAACACCGAUGGCGAAGGCAGCCCCCUGGGCUGAGAUUGACGCUCAGGCACGA